UACGUAGGGUGCGAGCGUUGUCCGGAAUUAUUGGGCGUAAAGGGCUCGUAGGCGGUCUGUCGCGUCGGGAGUGAAAACUCAGGGCUUAACCCUGAGCCUGCUUCCGAUACGGGCAGACUAGAGGUAUGCAGGGGAGAACGGAAUUCCUGGUGUAGCGGUGGAAUGCGCAGAGAUCCGGAAGAACACCGGUGGCGAAGGCGGCCUGCUGGGCAGUAGCUGACGCUGAUGCGCGACAGCGUGGGGAGCAAACAGG
rnacentral:rRNA from 1 species